GCCUGGGUGGUUCAGUCGGCUAAGCAGCUGACUUCAGCUCAGUUCGUGAUCUCACGGUUCGUGGGUUUGAGCCCCACAUUGGGCU
rnacentral:tRNA from 1 species